GCGGGAAUAGCUCAGUUGGUAGAGCAUAACCUUGCCAAGGUUGGGGUCGNGAUUGGUUUUUUUUGAG
rnacentral:tRNA from 1 species